rnacentral:rRNA from 1 species
AGUCGAACGGCAGCACGGGGGCAAUCCUGGUGGCGAGUGGCGAACGGGUGAGUAAUACAUCGGAACGUGUCCUGUAGUGGGGGAUAGCCCGGCGAAAGCCGGAUUAAUACCGCAUACGCUCUACGGAGGAAAGGGGGGGAUCUCAGGACCUCCCGCUACAGGGGCGGCCGAUGGCAGAUUAGCUAGUUGGUGGGGUAAAGGCCUACCAAGGCGACGAUCUGUAGCUGGUCUGAGAGGACGACCAGCCACACUGGGACUGAGACACGGCCCAGACUCCUACGGGAGGCAGCAGUGGGGAAUUUUGGACAAUGGGCGAAAGCCUGAUCCAGCAAUGCCGCGUGUGUGAAGAAGGCCUUCGGGUUGUAAAGCACUUUUGUCCGGAAAGAAAACCUCCGCCCUAAUAUGGUGGGGGGAUGACGGUACCGGAAGAAUAAGCACCGGCUAACUACGUGCCAGCAGCCGCGGUAAUACGUAGGGUGCAAGCGUUAAUCGGAAUUACUGGGCGUAAAGCGUGCGCAGGCGGUCCGCUAAGACAGAUGUGAAAUCCCCGGGCUUAACCUGGGAACUGCAUUUGUGACUGGCGGGCUAGAGUAUGGCAGAGGGGGGUAGAAUUCCACGUGUAGCAGUGAAAUGCGUAGAGAUGUGGAGGAAUACCGAUGGCGAAGGCAGCCCCCUGGGCCAAUACUGACGCUCAUGCACGAAAGCGUGGGGAGCAAACAGGAUUAGAUACCCUGGUAGUCCACGCCCUAAACGAUGUCAACUAGUUGUUGGGGAUUCAUUUCCUUAGUAACGUAGCUAACGCGUGAAGUUGACCGCCUGGGGAGUACGGUCGCAAGAUUAAAACUCAAAGGAAUUGACGGGGACCCGCACAAGCGGUGGAUGAUGUGGAUUAAUUCGAUGCAACGCGAAAAACCUUACCUACCCUUGACAUGUAUGGAAUCCUGCUGAGAGGUGGGAGUGCCCGAAAGGGAGCCAUAACACAGGUGCUGCAUGGCUGUCGUCAGCUC